AGGAAAGGCCUUAAUGCCCCAAAGGCACCAGACCCCUUCUGAAUUCGAAAACUAAGCAGGGUUAACCCCUGUUAGUACAUGGAUGGGAGAUUGCCAAUUAAUAAAAGGUGAUUUUAUUU
rnacentral:rRNA from 1 species